rnacentral:tRNA from 1 species
GGGCAGAUUCCAGAGUGGUCAAAUGGGGCGGACUGUAAAUCCGCUAGCUACGCUUUCGGGGGUUCGACUCCCUCUCUGCCCACCA